AUACGAAGGGUGCAAGCGUUAAUCGGAAUUACUGGGCGUAAAGCGCGCGUAGGUGGUUCGUUAAGUUGGAUGUGAAAGCCCCGGGCUCAACCUGGGAACUGAAUCCAAAACUGGCGAGCUAGAGUAUGGCAGAGGGUGGUGGAAUUUCCUGUGUAGCGGUGAAAUGCGUAGAUAUAGGAAGGAACACCAGUGGCGAAGGGGACCACCUGGGCUAAUACGGACACUGAGGUGCGUAAGCUGGGGUAACAAACAGGAUUAGAUACCCUGGUAGUCGACGCCGUAAACGAUGUCGACUAGCCGUUGGGAUCCUUGAGAUCUUAGUGGCGCAGCUAACGCAUUAAGUGGACCGCCUGGGGAGUACGGCCGCAAGGUUAAAACUCAAAGGAAUUGACGGGG
rnacentral:rRNA from 1 species